UACGGAGGAUGCAAGCGUUAUCCGGAAUGAUUGGGCGUAAAGAGUCCGUAGGUGGUUAUUCAAGUCGAUUGUUAAAGAGCGGGGCUUAACCCCGUAGAAGCAGUGGAAACUGAAUAACUAGAGAGAGGUAGGGGUAGAGGGAAUUCCCGGUGUAGUGGUGAAAUGCGUAGAGAUCGGGAGGAACACCUGUGGCGAAGGCGGCCCCCCUGGGCCGGCCCUGACACUGAGACGCGAAGGCGUGGGGAGCGAACGGG
rnacentral:rRNA from 1 species